rnacentral:rRNA from 1 species
AACGUAGGUCCCGAGCGUUAUCCGGAUUUACUGGGCGUAAAGCGUGUUCAGGCGGUCUAGCAAGUCGGGCAUGAAAUCUCUCGGCUCAACCGGGAGGGGUUGUCCGAUACUGCUGGGCUUGAGGGCAGCAGAGGGUGGUGGAAUUCCGGGUGUAGUGGUGAAAUGCGUAGAUAUCUGGAGGAACACCGGUGGCGAAGGCGGCAUCCUGGACCAACACUGACACUGAGGAGCGAAAGCCAGGGGAGCAAACGGG